rnacentral:rRNA from 1 species
UGGGGAAUAUUGGACAAUGGGGGGAACCCUGAUCCAGCGAUGCCGCGUGUGUGAAGAAGGCCUUCGGGUUGUAAAGCACUUUUAUCUGGAGCGAAAUCUGCAGGGCUAAUACCCAUGCAGUCUGACGGUACCAGAGGAAUAAGCACCGGCUAACUUCGUGCCAGCAGCCGCGGUAAUACGAAGGGUGCAAGCGUUACUCGGAAUUACUGGGCGUAAAGCGUGAGUAGGUGGUUUCUUAAGUCUGCUGUGAAAGCCCCGGGCUCAACCUGGGAAUUGCAGUGGAUACUGGGAAGCUAGAGUGCGGUAGAGGGUAGUGGAAUUCCCGGUGUAGCGGUGAAAUGCGUAGAGAUCGGGAGGAACACCAGUGGCGAAGGCGGCUCACUAGGUCUGGAUUGACGCUCAGGGACGAAAGCGUGGGGAGCAAAC